GAUGAACGCUAGCUACAGGCUUAACACAUGCAAGUCGAGGGGCAGCAUUGGAGUAGCAAUACUUCAGAUGGCGACCGGCGCACGGGUGAGUAACACGUAUCCAACCUGCCGCUUACUCGGGGAUAGCCUUUCGAAAGAAAGAUUAAUACCCGAUGGUAUAAAGAGUUCGCAUGUUCUCUUUAUUAAAGAAUUUCGGUAAGCGAUGGGGAUGCGUUCCAUUAGAUUGUUGGCGGGGUAACGGCCCACCAAGUCUACGAUGGAUAGGGGUUCUGAGAGGAAGGUCCCCCACAUUGGAACUGAGACACGGUCCAAACUCCUACGGGAGGCAGCAGUGAGGAAUAUUGGUCAAUGGACGAGAGUCUGAACCAGCCAAGUAGCGUGAAGGAUGACUGCCCUAUGGGUUGUAAACUUCUUUUAUAAGGGAAUAAAGUGAGGGACGUGUCCCUUUU
rnacentral:rRNA from 1 species